rnacentral:misc_RNA from 1 species
AAGUCGUAACAAGGUUUCCGUAGGUGAACCUGCGGAAGGAUCAUUAUCACGUAUCCACGUAUCACCAAUUGUGCACUGUUUAUUUCUCCCUGUUGACUUCACAUGCAUUGGAACUUGUACACGCUUUGAAUGGGACUCUGUUAGGGUCAGCGUGGCAUGCUCAUACUUGACUGGCUUCGGCUUCGUCAGACAAUGGUAGUGUCGCACAGGUCGCCUCCUCUCACUCAAGACCUUCAACUUGGGUGAGUAGGUAUUCUACACAUCAAUCACAUCCUUUUUGCUAGUUGACUUUCUUAAUGUUGGGCUUCAGUCAUUCAUUUGAUAGCUGCUCACACGUUUCUUAAUUGAACGAAAAUACAACUCUCAGCAAUGGAUAUCUAGGUUCUC